rnacentral:rRNA from 1 species
AACGAACGCUGGCGGCAGGCUUAACACAUGCAAGUCGAGCGAGACCUUCGGGUCUAGCGGCGGACGGGUGAGUAACGCGUGGGAACGUGCCCUUCUCUACGGAAUAGCCCCGGGAAACUGGGAGUAAUACCGUAUACGCCCUGUGGGGGAAAGAUUUAUCGUAGAAGGAUCGGCCCGCGUUGGAUUAGGUAGUUGGUGGGGUAAUGGCCCACCAAGCCGACGAUCCAUAGCUGGUUUGAGAGGAUGAUCAGCCACACUGGGACUGAGACACGGCCCAGACUCCUACGGGAGGCAGCAGUGGGGAAUCUUAGACAAUGGGGGCAACCCUGAUCUAGCCAUGCCGCGUGAGUGAUGAAGGCCUUAGGGUUGUAAAGCUCUUUCAGCUGGGAAGAUAAUGACGGUACCAGCAGAAGAAGCCCCGGCUAACUCCGUG